GUCUUGACUGGAGUGCAGACGUGGGCUCUUCAUAUAUCACCUGUCCUGAACUAAGAAAAGGCCCUUUAAUAAAGGUGCAAACUGGUUACCUGAAAAUAUGUCAUAUUGUAUCAAAUAAGUGUCUAGCUGUGACCACCACUGAAAACAAAAGCGAGGUCCAUAUCCUCUUGAUCCACAAAUAUAAAGUUGACAUUGCAGAAAGAAUUUCUCUGGGACAUCAUAAUGUCAGCAUUGCUGCAACUCCAAUUAAUUUUGUAGUCGUAGAUGGAAACGAAAAUAAAAUGGUAUUUUAUUCCACAUGUGGUGAAG